GCCUGUGUAGCUCAGGGGUAGAGCUUUACACUUGUAACCUCGGCAAGGUCUGCAAUGUAAGGGUCCAGUGUUCAAAUCACUGGUCAGGCA